rnacentral:rRNA from 1 species
AGUGAACGCUGGCGGUAGGCCUAGCACAUGCAAGUCGAACGGCAGCACAGUAAGAGCUUGCUCUUACGGGUGGCGAGUGGCGGACGGGUGAGGACUACAUCGGAAUCUACUUUUUCGUGGGGGAUAACGUAGGGAAACUUACGCUAAUACCGCAUACGCCCUACGGGUGAAAGCAGGGGAUCUUCGGACCUUGCGCGAUUGAAUGAGCCGAUGUCGGAUUAGCUAGUUGGCUGGGUAAAGGCCCACCAAGGCGACGAUCCGUAGCUGGUCUGAGAGGAUGGUCAGCCACACUGGAACUGAGACACGGUCCGGACUCCUACGGGAGGCAGCAGUGGGGAAUAUUGGACAAUGGGCGCAAGCCUGAUCCAGCCAUACCGCGUGGGUGAAGAAGGCCUUCGGGUUGUAAAGCCCUUUUGUUGGGAAAGAAAAGCAGCAGGUUGAUACCCCGCUGUUCUGACGGUACCCAAAGAAUAAGCACCGGCUAACUUCGUG